UGUCACAUGUCAAACCAGUUUAGAAUCAGAAGAAACUUGAAACCUAAAAUCUCUGGUGGAUUUGUAAAAUUCAAAGCCUCCAUUCACGGCAUCUAUGGUCCAGAAUCUGAAGAUAAAUAUAUAUCUAUCACCAUAGUUUAAAAAUGAAACAAAUU